CUCCUCUUUUUCUUCAUCCUCAUGAGCCCUGUCCAAUGCUUGCACCCUACUAAGUGCAGUAAUCCAGGAAUCAAGGAAGACUGGCAGCUCCAUGGCUCCACCACGCCCAGCAUGUCCCCUUCUGUGUGGAGGCAUGAGAGAACGCAGGUGGAACAGAUGGGCGGCUUACAGGACACACAGUGCUAACAGUCAGCCCCAAGGCCCCCAGACAAGCUGCGCUCCAGACACGUGGCACUGACAGAUGGCUCUGUUAGCUGAGGUCUGUGCUCCACCCUCUCUGCUUCACCUGCAAGCUCCUCCAACCCUCAGGACAGACAGCCUCAGAGGUUCAAGGGUAUUCAGAGCCGAAGGGGCAAGGGUGUUGGGUGUUUUGUCCCAGCAACAAGAAAAAAGUAACCAAGACACUGAGACACAGUACUGACCCCCACACAGUACUGACCCCCACAGAUUAAGGAAGGAAAUAUUUCAUUGGGAAGUCAGGUUCUGAGGACUCAGUCCAUGACUGGCUGGCUCACAAACAAAACCAUCAUGGCAAAGGGAUGCAACAGAGCAAAGGUGCUCGUUUCAAGGUGACUGGGAAGCAGAGCUGCGGAGAAUCACAACAGAAGACAGGGCCGGGGCCACAGACCCCUAGACCAACCCACCAGGAUCUACCCAGAUAUACCCAGAACUGUGUUCCUCCUUCUGGUAACCCCUUCCAGGAGUUCACCAAAGCAACCAAGUUCCCAUUCUACCCUCAGUGUCACAGUAGCUGAGGUAGAGGAUUGGAAGUUCAUGCCUAGCCUUGCAACUUAGUGACUUCCUGAGACCUUUCUCAGAAUCAAAAAUUUAAAAUGGGCUGCAGAUGUGGCCCCUUGUGAAA